GGAACAAUGAAUCUGCAAAAGCAGAGUAAUGAUCAAAUACUGAAUCAACAAGUUGGGUUGGGCUAAAGUUUUGGCCCAAUAAGAGUGCUCUGUCGGUUGCUCAUCAUCGCCACCGUCUAAGUUCCUCCGUUUCCAGGCGAAAAUGUCACGGAAGAAGCAAGUUAUGGCGGCGGGAAUGGUUGCCGUGGUGGCAGGAUCGCAUCCGUGGAACUCAUUGAUCCAAGCUCUACUUCUGCUAUCACUAUCGUUUCCGGCGGCGCUUACAGACCAGGAGAUAUCGUCGCGAUGAGCAAGAUGAGGCAGCAUAUUAGCUGAGCUGAGCUGAGCUUACUAUCUAAUUUGAAGGCUCUCUUGUAGUUCGAGAACGACUUGGGAUGAUCUUCGCUGUUAAUCGCGAGGUGUUAUGAUUGAUCCCCAUAGCGAAACCUAUAUGGCCUACACUGGAGCAGAUCCUUAUUAAGAUGUGAGAUUACUGCUCAGAUUAUAAUCUUGUAGGGUGCUUUGAGUUCUGUGGCCAUGUUAGUGGAUAGUAUCUAGCAAUUUCUUGUUGUUGUUGCUCAAGUAGCGCUAAUGAUGAAGACACAGUGAUGAUUCUGUCUCAGACUGUUUUUGCAGAUUGUGUUCUUAUUAUCUAUUUUCUGCUGUUGAAUGUGGAGUACGAUGUUGCUUUGUC